rnacentral:rRNA from 1 species
UGUAACAAGGUUUCCGUAGGUGAACCUGCGGAAGGAUCAUUACAGUAUUCUUUUUGCCAGCGCUUAAUUGCGCGGCGAAAAAACCUUACACACAGUGUUUUUUGUUAUUACAAGAACUUUUGCUUUGGUCUGGACUAGAAAUAGUUUGGGCCAGAGGUUUACUGAACUAAACUUCAAUAUUUAUAUUGAAUUGUUAUUUAUUUAAUUGUCAAUUUGUUGAUUAAAUUCAAAAAAUCUUCAAAACUUUCAACAACGGAUCUCUUGGUUCUCGCAUCGAUGAAGAACGCAGCGAAAUGCGAUAAGUAAUAUGAAUUGCAGAUUUUCGUGAAUCAUCGAAUCUUUGAACGCACAUUGCGCCCUCUGGUAUUCCAGAGGGCAUGCCUGUUUGAGCGUCAUUUCUCUCUCAAACCUUCGGGUUUGGUAUUGAGUGAUACUCUUAGUCGAACUAGGCGUUUGCUUGAAAUGUAUUGGCAUGAGUGGUACUGGAUAGUGCUAUAUGACUUUCAAUGUAUUAGGUUUAUCCAACUCGUUGAAUAGUUUAAUGGUAUAUUUCUCGGUAUUCUAGGCUCGGCCUUACAAUAUAACAAACAAGUUGACCUCAAAUCAGGUAGGAUACCCCCAAUCG